CCUACGGGUGGCAGCAGUGGGGAAUAUUGGACAAUGGGCGAAAGCCUGAUCCAGCCAUGCCGCGUGUGUGAAGAAGGCCUUCGGGUUGUAAAGCACUUUCAGUGGGGAAGAAAGCCUUGGGGCUAAUACCCUCGAGGAAGGACAUCACCCACAGAAGAAGCACCGGCUAACUCCGUGCCAGCAGCCGCGGUAAUACGGAGGGUGCGAGCGUUAAUCGGAAUUACUGGGCGUAAAGCGCGCGUAGGCGGUCUGAUAAGCCGGUUGUGAAAGCCCCGGGCUCAACCUGGGAACGGCAUCCGGAACUGUCAGGCUAGAGUGCAGGAGAGGAAGGUAGAAUUCCCGGUGUAGCGGUGAAAUGCGUAGAGAUCGGGAGGAAUACCAGUGGCGAAGGCGGUCUUCUGGACUGACACUGACGCUGAGGUGCGAAAGCGUGGGUAGCAAACAGGAUUAGAUACCCUAGUAGUC
rnacentral:rRNA from 1 species